rnacentral:rRNA from 1 species
CGCGUAGGCGGGCUAUUAAGUUGGGGGUGAAAUCCCGAGGCUCAACCUCGGAACUGCCUCCAAAACUGGUAGCCUGGAGGUAUGGAGAGGGAAGUGGAAUUCCUGGUGUAGCGGUGAAAUGCGUAGAUAUCAGGAGGAACACCUGUGGCGAAGGCGGCUUCCUGGCCAUAUCCUGACGCUGAGGUGCGAAAGCCAGGGGAGCGAACG